AUUAAACGCUGGCGGCAUGCCUUACACAUGCAAGUCGAACGGCGGCACGGGGGCAACCCUGGUGGCGAGUGGCAAACGGGUGAGUAAAGCAUCGGAACGUGCCCUGGAGUGGGGGAUAACGUAGCGAAAGUUACGCUAAUACCGCAUAUUCUGUGAGCAGGAAAGCAGGGGAUCGCAAGACCUUGCGCUCUGGGAGCGGCCGAUGUCGGAUUAGCUAGUUGGUGGGGUAAAGGCCUACCAAGGCGACGAUCCGUAGCGGGUCUGAGAGGAUGAUCCGCCACACUGGGACUGAGACACGGCCCAGACUCCUACGGGAGGCAGCAGUGGGGAAUUUUGGGACAAUGGGCGAAAGCCUGAUCCAGCCAUGCCGCGUGAGUGAAGAAGGCCUUCGGUUGGU
rnacentral:rRNA from 1 species